ensembl:snoRNA
GUCCUCAGGUUCCUGGAUGCUGUGGUUUGUAUACAGCUCUCCAGUGGAUUGAAGGGACCAGACCAGUUCUGUGGCUGAUGCAUGGUGGUUGUUUUUCUUUAGCAGCCUCUGUAGCCCAGAUACAUGGAAAAUAA